UCAAAAAGGAAUAAGGGAUGCCAUCAA
rnacentral:sRNA from 1 species